UACGGGGGGGGCAAGCGUUGUUCGGAAUUACUGGGCGUAAGGGCGCGUAGGCGGCGUGGUAAGUCACUUGUGAAAUCUCUGAGCUUAACUCAGAACGGCCAAGUGAUACUGCAGUGCUAGAGUGUGGAAGGGGCAAUCGGAAUUCUUGGUGUAGCGGUGAAAUGCGUAGAUAUCAAGAGGAACACCGGUGGCGAAGGCGGGAUGCUGGGCCGACACUGACGCUGAGGCGCGAAGC
rnacentral:rRNA from 1 species